rnacentral:sRNA from 1 species
CACUCUAAAUAGAAUGUAUUGUAAUCUUUGCUCAGUCCAACGUGGUCCCUUCACCCGGGCUCCGCUCUUGCCUUCUCCACACUUGUUUGAUUUAUGAGGAAUCCAAGAUGAAUUUGGAGCAGGAGAGGCCGUUUGUCUGCAGUGCCCCAGGCUGCUCCCAGCGCUUCCCAACAGAGGACCAUCUGAUGAUUCAUAGGCACAAACAUGAAAUGACUUUGAAGUUUCCUUCAAUAAAAACAGACAAUAUGUUAUCAGAUCAAACUCCGACCCCAACGAGAUUUCUGAAGAACUGUGAGGAGGUGGGCCUCUUCAGCGAGCUGGACUGCUCCCUGGAGCAUGAGUUCAGGAAGGCUCAAGAGGAGGAGAGCAGCAAGCGGCAUGACUGAAAGGAAACACUCUUUGACAAUGAUAUUGGAGAUGACAACCUCUUUCUUCCACCACCCCAAUGACUGAAAACCCUAAGGCUUAUAUUAUAAGGAUUCUUUUUGUCCUCCUAUUUCAGUGCACUACAAAUGUAAAUCACAUUCAACUUUCUCCUUGCAGGUUAAAAUUAUGCCCUCAUCUUAGGUGGAAUUUGACGCUGGAAGGGAAUUUGGCUUGAUCUUUGCAUCCCACUCAGGGGAAUGACUAAACCAGUAGAUAAACUGGAAGCUAUUUCAUGUGUUUUAGGUCACUAGGAUUUAGGAAUAAUGAGUACAAUCUUAGCAGGGAUUAUUAAGAGUUGGUAUUUACUUCCACAUAUGUGAAUGAAU